AUGCGGUUUGGGUUCAGCUUGGUUUUCCUUGUUGCUCUUUUAAGAGGUGUCCAGUGUGAGGCACAGCUGUUGGAGUCUGGGGGAAGCUUGGUGAAGCCUGGGGGGUCUCUGAGACUCUCCUGUGCAGCCUCUGGAUUCACAUUCAGUACCUCCUGGAUGACCUGGGUCCGCCAGGCUCCAGGGAAGGGGCUGGAGUGGGUCUCAUUGAUUAAUCCUGAUGGAAGUAGCACAUACUAUGCAAACUCUGUGAAGGGCCGAUUCACCAUCUCCAGAGACAACACCAAGAACAUGCUAUACCUGCAAAUGAACAGCCUGAAAGUCGAGGACACGGCUGUGUAUUACUGUGCAAGAGACACAGUGAGGGGAAGUCAAUGUGAGCCCAGACAC